UGCGUAGGCGGUGCGGUAAGUCUUCUGUGAAACCUCCGGGCUUAACUCGGAGCCUGCAGGGGAAACUGCCGUGCUGGAGUAUGGGAGAGGUGAGUGGAAUUCCCGGUGUAGCGGUGAAAUAGCGUAGAUAUCGGGAGGGAACACCUGUGGCGAAAGACGGCUCACUGGACCAUUACUGACGCUGAUGCACGAAAGCUAGGGGAGGCAAACAGGAUUAGAUACCUGGUAGUCCUAGCCCUAAACGAUGAUCGCUUGGUGUGACAGGUACCCAAUCCUGUCGUGCCGGAGCUAACGCGUUAAGCGAUCCGCCUGGGGAGUACGGUCGCAAGGCUGAA
rnacentral:rRNA from 1 species